GUAGGUGGCAAGCGUUGUCCGGAAUUAUUGGGCGUAAAGCGCGCGCAGGGUGGUUCUUUAAGUCUGAUGUGAAAGCCCCCGGCUCAACCGGGGAGGGUCAUUGGAAACUGGGGAACUUGAGUGCAGGAGAGGAAAGUGGAAUUCCACGUGUAGCGGUGAAAUGCGUAGAUAUGUGGAGGAACACCAGUGGCGAAGGCGACUUUCUGGCCUGUAACUGACACUGAGGCGCGAAAGCGUGGGGAGCAAACAGGAUUAGAUACCCUGGUAGUCCACGCCGUAAACGAUGAGUGCUAAGUGUUGGGGGGUUUCCGCCCCUCAGUGCUGCAGCUAACGCAUUAAGCACUCCGCCUGGGGGGUACGGUCGCAAGACUG
rnacentral:rRNA from 1 species